AGUCUUUAGGUUCAGUUUGACACAUUCAGAUACUUGACAACAUGACGCUUGAUAAUAGCACGUGCAGACUGAUUUAAAUGUAAAUUCUGCAGAUAACAACUCAAUUACAGACUUAUAAUGUCACUUAACAGCACACACUUCAGCCCAUAAACAAACAAACGCUGUGAUAAAGUGCAGGAGUGGAAGAUGUCACGAGACUCACCUAAUAAGGGAUGUUUGAAGUGUUACACUCAGCCAACAGAAGCAUGUGGACAGACAUUGACUGUAAUGAUGGACAUCUGCUGAAGCACAGAAGUAUAACCCCUGCUGGACAUUGUGCUGGAACUCGGGGAGGACACCAUGAUCCCCCACACCUUCUCACUCACACCAGACCAUUCACUCAUAUCACAGAGAUCUGGCUGGACUUGAACCAGCAACCUCUGAAACCAUGAGGCAGCGCUCUUACCUCUGAGCCACAGAUCUCAUGUCUGAACAUGUGGAGGAACUUAUAUUUCACUAUUCUCCCUGUCAGUUUACAAUAAACCAGUUAAAUUGUGUAAGUAAUGUGUGUAAGUAAUGUGUGUUUGCAC
ensembl:lncRNA